AACGAACGCUGGCGGCAUGCCUAACACAUGCAAGUCGAACGAACCCUUCGGGGUUAGUGGCGCACGGGUGCGUAACGCGUGGGAAUCUGCCCUUUGCUUCGGAAUAACUCAGGGAAACUUGUGCUAAUACCGGAUGAUGUCUUCGGACCAAAGAUUUAUCGGCAAGGGAUGAGCCCGCGUAGGAUUAGGUAGUUGGUGGGGUAAAGGCCUACCAAGCCGACGAUCCUUAGCUGGUCUGAGAGGAUGAUCAGCCACACUGGGACUGAGACACGGCCCAGACUCCUACGGGAGUCAGCAGUGGGGAAUAUUGGACAAUGGGCGCAAGCCUGAUCCAGCAAUGCCGCGUGAGUGAUGAAGGCCCUCGGGUCGUAAAGCUCUUUUACCAGGGAUGAUAAUGACAGUACCUGGAGAAUAAGCUCCGGCUAACUCCGUG
rnacentral:rRNA from 1 species